rnacentral:rRNA from 1 species
CUACGGGCCGCACCAGUGGGGAAUAUUGCACAAUGGGCGCAAGCCUGAUGCAGCCAUGCCGCGUGUAUGAAGAAGGCCUUCGGGUUGUAAAGUACUUUCAGCGGGGAGGAAGGGAGUAAAGUUAAUACCUUUGCUCAUUGACGUUACCCGCAGAAGAAGCACCGGCUAACUCCGUGCCAGCAGCCGCGGUAAUACGGAGGGUGCAAGCGUUAAUCGGAAUUACUGGGCGUAAAGCGCACGCAGGCGGUUUGUUAAGUCAGAUGUGAAAUCCCCGGGCUCAACCUGGGAACUGCAUCUGAUACUGGCAAGCUUGAGUCUCGCAGAGGGGGGUAGAAUUCCAGGUGUAGCGGUGAAAUGCGUAGAGAUCUGGAGGAAUACCGGUGGCGAAGGCGGCCCCCUGGACGAAGACUGACGCUCAGGUGCGAAAGCGUGGGGAGCAAACAGGAUUAGAUACCCCCGUACUC